UGGGGAAUUUUGGACAAUGGGGGAAACCCUGAUCCAGCCAUCCCGCGUGUGCGAUGAAGGCCUUCGGGUUGUAAAGCACUUUUGGCAGGAAAGAAACGUCGCGGGUUAAUACCCCGCGAAAAUGACGGUACCUGCAGAAUAAGCACCGGCUAACUACGUGCCAGCAGCCGCGGUAAUACGUAGGGUGCAAGCGUUAAUCGGAAUUACUGGGCGUAAAGCGUGCGCAGGCGGUUCGGAAAGAAAGAUGUGAAAUCCCAGAGCUUAACUUUGGAACUGCAUUUUUAACUACCGGGCUAGAGUGUGUCAGAGGGAGGUGGAAUUCCGCGUGUAGCAGUGAAAUGCGUAGAUAUGCGGAGGAACACC
rnacentral:rRNA from 1 species